CAGCCGCCGCGGUAAUACGAAGGGGGCUAGCGUUGCUCGGAAUUACUGGGCGUAAAGGGCGCGUGGGCGGAUGUUUAAGUCAGAGGUGAAAGCCCAGGGCUCAACCUUGGAACUGCCUUUGAUACUGGACAUCUUGAGUGUGGGAGAGGUGAGUGGAACUCCGAGUGUAGAGGUGAAAUUCGUAGAUAUUCGGAAGAACACCAGUGGCGAAGGCGACUCACUGGCCCAUUACUGACGCUGAGGCGCGAAAGCGUGGGGAGCAAACAGGAUUAGAUACCCCAGUAGUCCCUGUCUCUUAUAU
rnacentral:rRNA from 1 species